rnacentral:rRNA from 1 species
UACGUAUGGUGCAAGCGUUAUCCGGAUUUACUGGGCGUAAAGGGAGCGCAGGCGGCGCGCCAAGUCUGAUGUGAAACCCCGGGGCUCAACCCCGGGCAUGCAUUGGAAACUGGCGGGCUGGAGUGCCGGAGAGGUAAGCGGAAUUCCUAGUGUAGCGAUGAAAUGCGUAGAUAUUAGGAGGAACACCAGUGGCGAAGGCGGCUUACUGGACGGCAACUGACGCUGAGGCUCGAAAGCGUGGGGAGCAAACAGG